UCUGGCUUGUUUUCAGGAGCAGUGGGUGGUUCUCAAAAGCACACCAGGCCUAGGGCCUGAACCACACCGGCCUCUGCACGUUUAGUGCUGCAGUGAAGAUGCUGAGCCUCAGUUCCCCGUGGGGAUGGCAAGGAGGCCUGGCGUGUCCUAGGCCACAGACACAAGCAUCACCUGCAGGCUCGUGGGGGCGAGUGAGCAGAGAAACAAGUGGGUGAGUCUUUGUUACCCCCACCCAUCAACAGGAAUCCAGAACCCACCGGGAAGACAACAGCGACACCUCUGAGAUUGCCCAGAUUGCCCACCAGUUUUAAUGAUUUUCCUGUAACCAUGCCAAUGAAGUUUUGAUAUGUGAUUCUUGGAAGAGGCCUCAGGAUCCUGAUUUGAUCUGACCACCUCACGUUAAGUCAACACCCAGAACCGAUGAGCCACUUCCUGCCUGAGGGUGUGUGAGGAAUGGAGCUCAAGAGCCACGAGUCACUGCCGACCAGGUAGUUUUAGCCUGGGUAGCCAUUGAAAGCAAGUCUUUAAAAUGGCAUUUUCAAGGUAAUGUUUCCUAAAUGAGAAGGUGAACUUGAUGGCACUGUAACUAGAGCAGAAGUGAAAACAAAACAAAACAAAGCACAAGGAGUCAUCCAAGCAAAUGGUCAUCGAAUGCCCCAGCAGAGGAAACAGAAGCCACAGAAGAUCCUGAUGAAGCCAUCACCAUGGGAGAACGCUGUGAUUUAGCCUAAAAACAAUUCAUUAAAAAUUUGGAAUUUCAGAAAUAAUCACUGCUAACCCUAACAGACAAUCUGGUAGCCUCUUCUCCUCAACUGAUCUUGGGCACCAACCCCAGUUCUGGACGCUCUACUCACCUCCCAUCCUUAAGCCACUGUGAGCUUCACCAGGGUAGAGGGCAACACUAGAAAGGUCACCCCAAAUUACACCUUGCAUCAAAUUGGCCUUGUGAAAAGGAAGGUAGGACGCCCUCCUGUUUUGAGAGGAGGGCGCAACUCAGGACGUGUGAGCUGGAAUAUUCAGAGGUUGGGCGCAUCCCAACAAGGAUGAAGGUGCUCCUGGGGGAGGCCUGUAGGCGUGUCACAGAAUACCCACAUGCCAUUGUUUUAACUUAGUCCCCCCGCCCCUCGUUUCUUAUUUGAGGUAACAUUAGUUCACAAUGUUGUGAUUUAAAGGUAUAGAAGCUCCCCUCAGGCCUUGUAACCACACCCCGCCCACCAAUGCAGUCCUAACACCCACAGACCUCCACCCUAGUCCACAGUGCUCCCGCCACGCUUUCUCAAGACCCUCUCUCCAAAUACAGUCGCAUUCCGAGUUAAGGGGCUUAAGAAUUUAGUUAAGGGGCUAAGUUAAUUUAAUUGAACUUAGUGGGGUCACAAUUCAGCCCCGAUAUUUUCUGUGGUAAAAAUACGUAGGCUGUGACUUCAUGAUGAAAGGGCAGUACCCUCAGCAGCAACUCAGCUUUCUCCCGCCUUGGGGCACAUCUGCAGAAGGCCAGGCCCGCCUGGGAAUCCCAAGGGCCAAGGGAGUGAUAGCAAGAAGGAAACCGGGGAAACAGGGACGGCGCGUUUCCCCUGACAGAGAAGAUAAGACAGGAGGCCG